rnacentral:tRNA from 1 species
GGUUUUGGCUCAGUGGUAGAGUGCUUGCCUGGUAUGGGUGACACCCUGGGUUCCAUCCCCAGCACCA